UACGUAGGGUGCAAGCGUUGUCCGGAAUUAUUGGGCGUAAAGAGCUCGUAGGCGGUUUGUUGCGUCGGCUGUGAAAUCCCGAGGCUCAACCUCGGGUCUGCAGUCGAUACGAGCAAACUAGAGUGUUGCAGGGGAGACUGGAAUUCCUGGUGUAGCGGUGAAAUGCGCAGAUAUCAGGAGGAACACCGGUGGCGAAGGCGGGUCUCUGGGCAACAACUGACGCUGGAGGAGCGAAAAGCGUGGGGGAGAACAGG
rnacentral:rRNA from 1 species